rnacentral:rRNA from 1 species
GGCCUGAACGCUGGCGGCGUGGCUAAGACAUGCAAGUCGAACGGGUAUAGCAAUAUACUAGUGGCGAACGGGUGAGUAAUGUAUCGCUAACGUGCCCUGAACUCUGGGAUAGCUACUCGAAAAGGGUAGGUAAUACCAGAUGAAAUGGCCUGAUCGCAUGAUCGGGCUCUCAAAGGUCCGCUGGUUCGGGAGCGGGCUGGCA